AUUGAACGCUGGCGGCAUGCCUUACACAUGCAAGUCGAACGGUAACGGGCCUUCGGGUGCCGACGAGUGGCGAACGGGUGAGUAAUGUAUCGGAACGUACCUUUCAGUGGGGGAUAACGUAGCGAAAGUUACGCUAAUACCGCCUAUUCUGUGAGCAGGAAAGCAGGGGAUCGCAAGACCUUGCGCUGAUUGAGCGGCCGAUAUCAGAUUCGCUAGUUGGUGAGGUAAAGGUUCACCAAGGCGACGAUCUGUAGCGGGUCUGAGAGGAUGAUCCGCCACACUGGAAAUGGGACACGGUCCAGACUCCUGCGGGAGGCAGCAGUGGGGAAUUGUGGACAAUGGGGGCAUCCCUGCUCCAGCCAUGCCGCGUGAGUGAAGAAGGCCUUCGGGUUGUAAAGCUCUUUCGGCCGGGAAGAAAUCGUAUCAGCUAAUACCUGGUGCGGAUGACGGUACCGGCAUAAGAAGCACCGGCUAACCACGUGCCAGCCGCCGCCGUCGUAA
rnacentral:rRNA from 1 species